CACACGACUCUCGGCAACGGAUAUCUCGGCUCUCGCAUCGAUGAAGAGCGUAGCGAAAUGCGAUACCUGGUGUGAAUUGCAGAAUCCCGCGAACCAUCGAGUCUUUGAACGCAAGUUGCGCCCGAGGCCACCCGGCCGAGGGCACGCCUGCCUGGGCGUCACGC
rnacentral:rRNA from 1 species